AGUUGUUGUUCAGUCACGCUCACUAUGUGAGGUCAUUGGACGGUGGUUUUGGUGUAAAUAUAUGUAUACUUUUUAAUGAAUUUCGGGCGUAAUAUUUGAGUUUAAUUAAUUGAAAUCAUCGACUACGAGUGGUGUUUAACAAAUUUUAUGUGGAUCAUAAGUUAUUGAGAUGUCAAUUACAUCUGUUCCACUCUGUAUACAAAGUGUAUUUAUAAUACUAUAAUUAAAAAAAUUAAAAUGUUAACAGGUUUUAUUAAAUAAAUAAUAACAAUUGAAUUAUUCAUUUCUAUAUUUGAUUAUUAAUAUUUAAUAUACACUUGUUUAAAACUAUUUAUAAUGUAAUAUCCAAUCUUUUUAUUGUUGGUAAAAGGUUUGAGAAAUAACAAAAACAUAAAUAUCAUAAAGAAGGUAAUCUAAUUGUACGAAGAAUAUAACAUCCAUGAGAUAUUUUUAUUAGAAUAUUAAUGUGAUAGGAAAAUAACUCAAUUAAGAAAAUAACUGAUAGUUUACAACUUUUAUUUUAGAAUUUUCAGUAGAUUAUCUAUCCACAUUAGAUGGCGUAUGGACUGGACAUACAGAGGUUCUAGAAGCUAAUCAUCGCUUUAGACCAUUAGGAUUGUUAUCACGAAACGAUUUAUGUAUACAAUUUAAUUUUAAAUUCAAUAGCCCUAUAACGUACAUUGAAGCUGAUAAAAGUCUGACUAAGCCAGAUAAAGAUAAACAAAAAAUUUUAUUUCCUGAUGGAAAUGAAUUUUAUAGAGCUGUAUCUUUAUUUCUUAGUGGAACAGAAAAUAAUCAUGAAUAUCUAAGGGCAAUAGUUUAUGAGGAAAUACUUAAUAAUGUAGGUAUUAGUACAUUCAUGGGAGGACAAAAUAAAUUACAAGAAUACCUACAAAAAAAUCCUGUUCAAAAUAAUGGUGUUCCUGUUACAUAUAUGGAGGUGAUGAUUACAAGUUAUCUCAUGGACACAAGUAUAUAUUUUUAUAGAAAUCAACUCCAAACAUGGUUAUUUAUCCCCAAAAAUUGGAACAACCCUUAUAUUGAAAAUUUUGAAGAAAAUUAUUUUAUGUACUUUUCAAUACAAGGUCUUGAUACUUUUUUAAUCAACGAUGUAAUUGUAGUUUAAAUUUUAUUUAUAAGACAAAAAAAAUUAAUUUACUCCUACCUUAUGUAAAUUAUAAAUAAGAAAAAAUAAAUUACUAGAAUGUUUGAAAAUAUUUUGAUUGGUUUAUAUUAUGAUAAAACUAUGUUUCUAUAA